rnacentral:ncRNA from 1 species
UACAAAUUGCCGCCGGGUAAGCUCGCUUUACCUCAUUCCGUUAGGCCUUAGAAGGAAUGAGCGUAAGGCGUUUUUUUUG